CUUUGAUUGGGUGGACAAGAUGUCAGUUCAUGCUGCAAAAGCUCUGAUAGGUUGGACGACGUCCUCCGGAAGUAGUAAUAAUUACAAUGUAUGUCUAUGGAAGGGGGUGAGAACCAUGAGCCUGUUGUAGUUAAGUCAAUGUACCCGGAGGAUGAUGGAAAUGUAGACCUUCAUUGCAAAACAGUGUGUUUUAAUCAGCUAUAUGGUGACGUGAAUAUAUUUACUAUAAUUUUCUAAAAAGGACAACUUUUUUCAUAUAAAAUCAAAUUCAUCGAGUAGGAUGAGGAGGCUCCUCCUCUGAGGAGCCUCCACUGUCAAUAACACUUUACAGCUAGGCUGCGAGGCUAUAUUGGUCAGACAAACUAUGUAGAGGUUGCUCAUUCUAGGCUGAAUUACAUCAUGAUGUAUCAAGAUAGAAUUGUUUCCAUCAAUCUCACUUCUCUUUUGUUUCAACCACUUGAGUUAGGCCUACCUAAUACCUGCAUGUAUGCAACAUAAAACAACAUAGUAAUUGAGUUCCUGUAUCUGUAAGGCUGUAUCAAACCACCCAGGCUCAGCCAGCGACAGUUAAAGUUAACAGAGACCUCCACUCCCCAAAGUACUAUAAGUCCUGUGUGCCAUAGGGGUCCAUACAUCAGGGGUUCUCAGUGAAGGUGGCAUUCAUCCCUAAACACUGCAAAAUAAAGAAAAUCAUAAAUAUGUCUUUCUCCUCCGCACCAGUGAGAUGUAUCAGACUGUGGCUAAACACACUGUGGAAUGGCCCCCACUGACACUUCCACAGCCCGUCUGUUAUCUGCUUGCCAUGUCCCAUUUCAAAAGGCCCCGUGUUAUCCCAAAUGGGGGAUAUUGAUGUUUUACUUUAUUGUAUGUACUGACAUUCUGAAGGGAUUCCCCCAGAGAUGUUUUAAGCACAUUAUAACAUGUAACCUACAGGUGUACAUUUGUUAUAUACAGUAUGUCUGCCUGUACAAACGUUUAUUUUGUAUGUGUGUAGCAUAGAAAGAAUUGUGUCAGUCUUUCAAAUGGACUUCUUUCCUCUCUUGACUGACACUGUUCAACCUAGCAUGCUGGCUUCAUUCCUUUUAUCCCAGUCUGAGACGACCAAACCUGCUGAGGUCCAGGCAGCACAUGCUGUCGCACACCUGGCAGUCAUUAGCCUGCUGAACUGCAGCCUAAUUGGCUCAAAGCAGGGGUUAAUCACCAUGCCCAAUGGACCACGUCCUACCCAGAGGUGUCUGGCUGUAGCCCAUUCGCUCGCCUGCCGCUGGGUGUCAUCACAGAGACAGACGAACAUAUGGACACACACACACGGUGUAGCUCCCAACUAGGCAUCUUCUUGGAGGACAAUACUGUCAACACGAGACCCUUAGCUACUAUACCUCCGUCCUUGUUGCAGAGGCUGAUGAGGUUGUGCACUGUGUCCAUCAUUUCCUGCUGCUGCCUCUGCAUGGCGGUGCUGUUGCCCGUGGCCCUGGUCAGCUGGGUCUCCAGCUCACGGAUCACCCCACUCUGUUUCCCCACCAGAGCCUGCAGGCUUCCCUUUUCCUCCCGCAGCGUCCCCAGCUCCUCCCGGUGACGAGACUCCAUCUCCUGCAUCUUCUGCUCCAUGAACCUUGGGAGGCGGAAGACCGGACAUAGGAAGAAUGGGGAUCGAUCAAUAGGCCCCUGGUCGGCUGGAAUGGAGGUCCAGUGCUAUGACUCAUUAUUGAAGCCCUGCUGGGUGCUGAUUCCAGGGCUUAACUGAUCCAUGGACAGAGUGUGACUGCAAUGUACCAAAAUGAAAUUGCUCCCUAUUCCCUAUAUACUGUAGUGCACUACUUUUGACCAGAGUCCAAUGGGAAUCACACUCUAAUCCAACCAGUCCACUGCCAGGACCCAAAGUUGUCCUCUCUGUUUCGCUCUCUUUCUGUCAGAAUGCUGUUGUGUUGAUUUCAUUCUGUUAUCCUUUUCCAAGGACAUAGUUAGUCUUGUGUACACAACCUGAAACCAAACCAACCAUCUCCAACCCAAAUCAUUGCAUAUAAAACCAGUGCCCAAAAUCAUUUGACAAGUAGAGCCAAUACACCACUUUCUGUCCAUCAAAAGCUCCUAGGCUCAACAAAUUGACAAAAGUGAGAAGCGUGCCCACUGGUGAAAACUCUAAAGACUUGGCGUUUUCUUUUGUUUCCAAAACUCCCUAAAAUCUAUCUGAUUUCGACUAUUGUGCAGUAAGGAAAAUAAGGACUUCCAAAUUCCAAUUGGCUCCUAUUUUUAUGCUUUUGGGCAAAUGCAGAUCUUCCAAUUUAAUUGACUUCUCUCUCUCUCUCUCUCUCUCAUCCUCUCUCAUCCUCUCUCUCGUCCUCUGCCUUAACGUGACAGAAGGAGGAUCGAUCAAUGGGUCAGCUGGGAUAGAGGUCCAGUGCUUUGACUCAUCACUGAAGCCUUGUAAGGAAAGAGGUAAAUAUUUGAAAUGGUCGGCUGAAAUGGAGGUCCGGUGGUUUGACUCAUCACUGAAGCCUUGUAAGGAAAGAGGUAAAUAUUUGAAAUGGUCGGCUGAAAUGGAGGUCCGGUGGUUUGACUCAUCACUGAAGCCUUGUAAGGAAAGAGGUAAAUUAUAGUCAAUGAACUAAUCACUGAUCAUAAUCUUGAUGUGAUUGGCCUGACUGAAACAUGGCUUAAGCCUGAUGAAUUUACUGUGUUAAAUGAGGCCU